UACGUAGGGGGCAAGCGUUGUCCGGAUUUAUUGGGCGUAAAGAGCGUGUAGGCGGCCUUACAGGUCAGCUGUGAAAACUCGAGGCUCAACCUCGAGACGCCGGUGGAAACCAUCAGGCUAGAGUCCGGAAGAGGAGAGUGGAAUUCCUGGUGUAGCGGUGAAAUGCGCAGAUAUCAGGAAGAACACCCGUGGCUAAGGCGGCUCUCUAGUACGGUACUGACGCUGAGACGCGAAAGCGUGGGGAGCGAACAGG
rnacentral:rRNA from 1 species